rnacentral:rRNA from 1 species
GUAGGGAAUAUUAGAAAUGGACGAAAGUCUGAUCUAGCAACACCGCGUGUGCGAAGAAGGCCUUCGGGUCGUAAAGCACUUUUUGGAAGGAAUAGGAAGGAAUGUACUUCCAGAAUAAGUCUCGGCUAACUACGUGCCAGCAGCCGCGGUAACACGUAGGAGGCAAACGUUAUCCGGAUUUACUGGGCGUAAAGCGCGUGUAGGUGGUACUGUAAGUAGGGCGUGAAAGCUCCUGGCUCAACUGGGAGAGGCCGUUCUAAACUACAGAACUAGAGGAUGGUAGAGGGAGGUGGAAUUCCAGGUGUAGCGGUGGAAUGCGCAGAUAUCUGGAGGAACACCGGUGGCGAAGGCGGCCUCCUGGACCAUUCCUGACACUCAGACGCGAAAGCUAGGGUAGCAAACGGGAUUAGAAACCCCGGUAGUCC